rnacentral:rRNA from 1 species
UUAUUGCGCAAUGGGGGGAACUCUGACGCCGCGACGCCACGUGAGCGAUGAAGGUCUUCGGGUGGUAAAGCUCUGUCCUGGGGGAAGAAGAUCUACGGACUUGACGGUACCUAAGGAGGAAGCCCCGGCGAACUACGUGCCGGCAGCCGCGGUAAUACGUAGGGGGCAAGCGUUGUCCGGAAUUAUUGGGCGUAAAGGGUGCGUAGGCGGCCUUUUAAGUCAGGGGUGAAAGCCCACGGCUUAACCGUGGGACUGCAUUUGAAACUGGAGGGCUUGAGUAGCGGAGAGGGUAGUGGAAUUCCCAGUGUAGCGGUGGAAUGCGUAGAUAUUGGGAGGAACACCAGUGGCGAAGGCGACUCUCUGGACUGCAACUGACGCUGAGGCACGAAAGCGUGGGGAGCAAAC